rnacentral:rRNA from 1 species
UACGUGGGGUGCAAGCGUUAAUCGGAAUUACUGGGCGUAAAGCGUACGCAGGCGGCUAUGUAAGACAGGUGUGAAAUCCCCGGGCUUAACCUGGGAACUGCAUUUGUGACUGCAUAGCUAGAGUCUGUCAGAGGGGGGUGGAAUUCCGCGUGUAGCAGUGAAAUGCGUAGAUAUGCGGAGGAACACCGAUGGCGAAGGCAAUCCCCUGGGCCUGCACUGACGCUCAUGCACGAAAGCGUGGGGAGCAAACAGG